UACGGAGGAUCCAAGCGUUAUCCGGAAUCAUUGGGUUUAAAGGGUCCGCAGGCUGUUUUGUAAGUCAGAUGUGAAAUCCCCGGGCUUAACCUGGGAACUGCGUUUGAAACUACAAGGCUAGAGUGUAGCAGAGGGGGGUGGAAUUCCACGUGUAGCAGUGAAAUGCGUAGAGAUGUGGAGGAACACCGAUGGCGAAGGCAGCCCCCUGGGUUAACACUGACGCUCAGGCACGAAAGCGUGGGGAGCAAACAGG
rnacentral:rRNA from 1 species